rnacentral:misc_RNA from 1 species
UGUAUCUCUGCUAUUCUUCUUGCAGUAUCUUGCAGCUGUUGUAAUGGUUUAGUUAGCUCAGCUCUUAAAUGUAUUUGUUCAUUUGUUUUGUCUCCUGGGAUAAAGCAACUUGCCAAAGCCGCGGUUUGAUGAUGAUCAAGAUCAUUGAAUGUACCAUUCAACAUCAAUUCUGUCACAAGGAGUUCAUCCCCAGUGUCUAUCAAGCAGGCUGCUCGUCCCUUCAACAGCACAACACCAUCAGCAUCUAUGUGACCCAGCUUCUUCAAGACUUGGGAACGGUUUUUAAGUUCAUCGCGAAAUUUUUGAAGCUGU